rnacentral:rRNA from 1 species
GAUGAACGCUAGCUACAGGCUUAACACAUGCAAGUCGAGGGGCAGCAGGACGAUAGCUUGCUAUUGUUGCUGGCGACCGGCGCACGGGUGAGUAACGCGUAUCCAACCUGGCCCACAGUAGGGAAUAGCCCGGCGAAAGUCGGAUUAAUGCCCUAUGUUCUUGACAGCAGACAUCUAACGUCAAGCAAAGAUUCAUCGCUAUGGGAUGGGGAUGCGUCUGAUUAGGUUGUCGGCGGGGUAACGGCCCACCGAGCCUGCGAUCAGUAGGGGUUCUGAGAGGAAGGUCCCCCACAUUGGAACUGAGACACGGUCCAAACUCC